GAAAUGCGAUACGUAGUGUGAAUUGCAGAAUUAAGCGAAUCAUCGAAACCUUGAACGCACCUUGCGCCCGCGGGCACUCCCGCGGGCACGCUUGUUUGAGCGUCAUUUCAAUACUCCUCCACCCCCCCGUGGGGCGGGGGGAACUGGUCGCUGGGCCGCCCGGCCCGCCGGCCGAAACGCAGGCGGUUCCGCGAGUCUUGGCGUCAGGGCCUGACGGGCGCGCGCCGCGGGUGGCGUAGCGUGUGCGUGUCUCGGUCGUCCGUUGGUCGUCGCGAGUGUCGCCGGUCGGCGUGCGGCGUUGCCUCGCCCCGGACGCGACCCGCCAAGCCCUGGCGCCCCGCCGCGGGCGCCACAAACCCGAGCCGCCUCGAGCGGCGAUCGAACAACUGUGACCUCAAAUCAAGCGAGGCUACCCGCUGAAUUUAA
rnacentral:misc_RNA from 1 species